GCCCGCGUAGCUCAGUUGGCAGAGCAUUGGGCUAGUAUUCCAAAGGUCGUAGGUUCGAUUCCCACCGUGGUCA